rnacentral:tRNA from 1 species
GGGUCCGUAGCUGAGGGGAUUAGCUACCGCCUUUUAAGCGGAAGACGUCGGUUCGAUUCCGACCGGACCCACC